rnacentral:rRNA from 1 species
AUUUGAAAACUAGGAUUAGAUACCCUAUUAUUAAAAAAAUUAAAUUAUAAUACUAAAAUAGUAAAUAAUUAUUUAUUGAAACUUGAAUAAUAUGGCGGUAUUUUAGUUCAUUUAGAGGAAUCUGUUAAGUAAUUGAUAAUCCACGAAUAAAUUUACUUAAUUUUAAAUUUUGUAUAUCAUUGUUAAAAAAAUAUUUUUAAAUAAAAAUAAUAUUUAAAAUUUUAAAAAUAAAAUUAGUUCAGAUCAAGAUGCAGAUUAUAAUUAAGAUUAUAAUGGAUUACAAUAAAAUUAUUUAAAUGAAUAAUAGUAUUGAAAUUUAUAUUUGAAAGUGGAUUUAAAUGUAAUUUUAAUUAGUUUAUUAAAAUGAUUAAAAAUUAGAAUAUGUACAUAUUGCCCGUCACUUUCAUUUUAAAAUUGAAAUAAGUCGUAACAAAGUAGAUGUACUGGAAAGUGUAUCUAGAAAGAACAAAUUAGAGCUUGUUAAAGUAUUUCAUUUACAUUGAAAAGAAAUUAAAAUUUAAUUAAUUUGAAUUUUAUUAAAAUUUUUAAAAUUUAUAUUGUUUAAAAAUUAUAAUUUGUUAUAAAAAAUUUUAAUAAAAUUAAAAUUUAAAAUUAUAUUUAAUUUUUUAUAGAAAAAUUAUUUAUAGUAAUAAAAAAUAAGAAAUAAUGAUAAAAUUAGUAUAUUAUAGUAAAAUUAAGUUAAAUUUAAUUAAAAUUAAAUUAAAGGAAUUCGGCAAAAAUUUAUAUUCACUUGUUUAUCAAAAACAUGUCUUUUUGGUUUAUAAUUUAAAGUCUAAUCUGCCCACUGAAAUAAUUUAAAGGGCUGCAGUAUAUUGACUGUACAAAGGUAGCAUAAUCAUUAGUCUUUUAAUUGAAGACUUGUAUGAAUGAUUUGAUGAAAUAUAAUCUGUCUCUAAUUUAUUAGUAAAAUUUAAUAUUUUAGUAAAAAAGCUAAAAUUUAAUUAAAAGACGAGAAGACCCUAUAGAGUUUUAUAUUUUAUUUAAUAUUAAUAAAAUAUAAAAUUAAUUAUUAAUAUAAAAUAAAAUAUUUUAUUGGGGUGAUAAAAAAAUUAAAUAAACUUUUUAUAAAAAUAUACAUAGAUAAAUGAUUUAAUGAUCCAUAAUUUGUGAUUAAAAGAAAAAAUUACCUUAGGGAUAACAGCGUAAUAUUUUUUUUUAGUACAAAUAAAAAAAAAAGUUUGCGACCUCGAUGUUGGAUUAAGAUAAAAAUUAAAUGCAAAAGUUUAAAUUUUUGAUCUGUUCGAUCAUUAAAAUCUUACAUGAUCUGAGUUCAAACCGGUGUAAGCCAGGUUGGUUUCUAUCUUUAAUUAGUUAUAAUAUUUUAGUACGAAAGGAUCAAAUAUGAAAAAUAAUUUUAAUAUAAUGAAUUUUAUUAAUUUUUGUCUA